UGCGACCUGUUCGCACCACUGCGGUUCUCAUUGGUUAAUCUUUACGCACACAGCUUCUUUCCGAAUGUUCUUGUCCACAUAAGAAAACAAUACCGCUUUUGCUUAUUGCUCAUACAAGGCGCUCAUUGAAUCGGCAACUCUGCCCCACCCAGCUACCGAACGGCCAGGCAGCUGAAACCAGCCCGCACAGCAGCCUUGUCUGAAACUCGAGGAUGAAUCCCUUGGCUCUUUCCAACCGCUGGAGGUGGAGAACUGCUGCGUCGGUUGGGCCUGGAAGGGGAAAGAAACUGGAUAUAGAAAUAAUUUCUGCCAUACCCCAUUCUCAGUGACCUGGAACUUUGGAUGAUUUCCUAGAACAAUGUAAGAAACCGAUCUCAAGAGGCAAAGCUAAGGCUACAUAACAAGCAGUCACGCCCUGAGGUCCCACGCCAAGGCUGGAGUCUCGGAGUGAGAAGCGUCAGAGAGCUGUAAGCCAAUCAGGAAGCAAGUGCCAGCAUCCUGAGAAAGUCCUCCUGUGGCCAAGGCCAAGCUGUCAUGAGGGAGAAAAGCCAAGUGCGAUGACAUGAAUGUGUAACCCAAGCACUGGAUGAGUGGGCUAGAACUUACUAGCCAGUUUAGCCUAGCCAAAUUGGUGAGCUCGACGUUCAGUGAGAGAACCUAUCUCAAAAGGUACCAUCUUUGUUCCAAACAACUCACCUUUUGCCAGUGGGAGGGGCUUCAGACGGGCCACUGGAUCCUUCUGCCAUGGUCCUUGACAGAGGAGAGGAACACUGGAGGUGUCCAAUGCCCUGGUCUGCUGAGCCGUUUCUAAGACAUGGAAGAAGCAAGGGAGCACUCGCAUCUGAGAACAACUGUGCUACAUCAGGCCCAGGAUGUGAAGGCAUACAGGCAGACAUGGUGCUGGAGAAAGCUGAGAGUUCUACAUCCUGAUCCACAGGCAGCAGAAGGAGACUGGGUACACACUGAGUAUAGCUUGAGCAUAGGAGACCUCAAGGCCCGAUUCCACCGUGACACAGUUCCUCCAGCAAGGCCAC
rnacentral:lncRNA from 1 species